rnacentral:rRNA from 1 species
GGGCCCGCACAAGCGGUGGAGCAUGUGGUUUAAUUCGAUGAUACGCGAGGAACCUUACCAGGGCUUAAAUGUAAGUUGCAUUAGUUAGAGAUAGCUAUUUCUUCGGACCACUUACAAGGUGCUGCAUGGUUGUCGUCAGCUCGUGCCGUGAGGUGUCAGGUUAAGUCCUAUAACGAGCGCAACCCCUGUUGUUAGUUGCCAGCGAGUCAUGUCGGGAACUCUAACAAGACUGCCAGUGUAAACUGGAGGAAGGAAAGGAUGACGUCAAGUCAGCAUGCCCCUUACGUCCUGGGCUACACACGUAAUACAAUGGGUGAGACAAUCAGAAGCGAUCUCGCGAGAGCUAGCGAAUCUGCUAAACUCAUCCUCAGUUCGGAUUGUAGGCUGCAACUCGCCUACAUG